CCGGAAUUAUUGGGCGUAAAGAGUUCGUAGGCGGUUUGUUAAGUUGGAUGUUAAAGCUCAGGGCCCAACCCUGAACUGGUGUUCAAAACUGGCAAACUUGAGACAAGUAGAGGCAAGUAGAAUUCUGCAUGUANGGGUAAUAUCCGUAGAUAUGCAGAGGAAUACCAAAAGCGAAGGCAGCUUGCUGGACUUGUUCUGACGCUCAAGAACGAAAGCGUGGGGAGCAAACGGGAUUAGAUACCCCGGUAGUCCACGCCCUAAACGAUGAUCACUAGGUGUUGGGGGUCUCGACCCCUUCAGCGCCGACGCUAACGCAUUAAGUGAUCCGCCUGGGUAGUACGAUCGCAAGAUUAAAACUCAAAGGAAUAGACGGGGACCCGCACAAGCGGUGGAGCAUCUGGUUUAAUUCGAUAGUAAGCGAGGAACCUUACCACGGUUUGACAUCCCGCGAAGUCUGCCGAAAGGCGGAUGUGCCGUAAGGAACGCGGUGACAGGUGCUGCAUGGCUGUCGUCAGCUCGUGCCUUGAGGUGUUCGGUUAAGUCCGUAAACGAGCGCAACCCAUGUCCUAAGUUGCAUUUUUCUUAGGAGACCGCCGGCUCCAAGUCGGAGGAAGGUAUGGAUGACGUCAAAUCAGCAUGGCCCUUAUACCGUGGGCGACACAGGUGCUACAAUGGUAGGUACAGUGGGCAGCGAAAGAGUAAUCUGGAGCAAAUCCCUAAAGCUUACCCAAGUUCGGAUUGAGGGCUGCAACUCGCCCUCAUGAAGCUGGAAU
rnacentral:rRNA from 1 species